rnacentral:rRNA from 1 species
UACGUAGGUGGCAAGCGUUGUCCGGAAUUAUUGGGCGUAAAGCGCGCGCAGGCGGCCUCUUGAGUCUGAUGUGAAAGCCCCCGGCUCAACCGGGGAGGGCCAUUGGAAACUGGGAGGCUUGAGUAUAGGAGAGAAGAGUGGAAUUCCACGUGUAGCGGUGAAAUGCGUAGAGAUGUGGGAGGAACACCAGUGGCGAAGGGCGAACUCUUUGGCCUAGUAACUGACGCUGAGGCGCGAAAGCGUGGGGAGCAACAGGG